GACAGAGGAUGCAAGCGUUAUCCGGAAUGAUUGGGCGUAAAGCGUCUGUAGGUGGCUUUUUAAGUCUGCCGUCAAAUCCCAGGGCUUAACCCUGGACAGGCGGUGGAAACUACCAAGCUGGAGUACGGUAGGGGCAGAGGGAAUUUCCGGUGGAGCGGUGAAAUGCGUAGAGAUCAGGAAGAACACCGGUGGCGAAAGCGCUCUGCUAGGCCGCAACUGACACUGAGGGACGAAAGCUAGGGGAGCGAAUGGG
rnacentral:rRNA from 1 species